UUUUUUUUUGAAAAAGUUUCUGGGUUUUAAAUUUCUGUGUGCUGGGUGGAUGGGGGAACAGCUGGGGAGGUGUUUGCAAGAAUCUGGGAGCUUGUGUGCUUUUUUUUGAAUUUUUAUGAUUUUUUGUGACCAUUGGGCCAUGUUGUUUUUUUUUGAAAAAAGUUUCUGGGUUUUAAAUUUCUGUGUGCUGGGUGGCUGGGGGAACAGCUGAGGAGGGGUUUGCAAGAAUCUGGGAGCUUGUGUGCUUUUUUUGAAUUUUUAUGAUUUUUUUGUGACCAUUGGGCCAUGUUGUUUUUUUUUGAAAAAAGUUUCUGGGUGUUAAAUUUCUGUGUGCGGGUGGGAAGGGGGAACAGCGGGGGAGGUGUUUGCAAGAAUCUGGGAGCUUGUGUGCUUUUUUUUGAAUUUUUAUGAUUUUUGUGACCAUUGGGCCAUGUUGUUUUUUUUUGAAAAAAGUUUCUGGGUUUUAAAUUUCUGUGUGCUGGGUGGCUGGGGGAACAGCUGAGGAGGGGUUUGCAAGAAUCUGGGAGCUUGUGUGCUUUUUUUGAAUUUUUAUGAUUUUUUGUGACCAUUGGGCCAUGUUGUUUUUUCUUGCAAUAGUUUCUGGGUUUUAAAUUUCUGUGUGCUGGGUGGCUGGGGGAACAGCUGAGGAGGGGUUUGCAAGAAUCUGGGAGCUUGUGUGCUUUUUUUUGAAUUUUUAUGAUUUUUUUGUGACCAUUGGGCCAUGUUGUUUUUUUUUGAAAAAAGUUUCUGGGUUUUAAAUUUCUGUGUGCUGGGUGGCUGGGGGAACAGCUGAGGAGGGGUUUGCAAGAAUCUGGGAGCUUGUGUGCUUUUUUUUGAAUUUUUAUGGUUUUCUGUAACCAUUGGGCCAUGUUGUUGUUUUUUGAAAAAUUUUCUGGGUUUUGAAUUUCUGUGUGCUGGGUGGCUGGGGGAACAGUUGAGGAGGGGUUUGCAGGAAUCUGGGAGCUUGUGUGGUUUUUUUUUGAAUUUUUAUGGUUUUCUGUAACCAUUGGGCCAUGUUGUUUUUUUUUGAAAAAUUUUCUGGGUUUUGAAUUUCUGUGUGCUGGGUGGCUGGGGGAACAGUUGAGGAGGGGUUUGCAACAGUUGGGGAGGGGUUUGCAACAGUUGGGGAGGGGCUGGGGGAACAG